UGGGGAAUAUUGCACAAUGGGCGCAAGCCUGAUGCAGCCAUGCCGCGUGUGUGAAGAAGGCCUUCGGGUUGUAAAGCACUUUCAGCGGGGAGGAAGGCGUUAAGGUUAAUAACCUUGGCGAUUGACGUUACCCGCAGAAGAAGCACCGGCUAACUCCGUG
rnacentral:rRNA from 2 species